rnacentral:rRNA from 1 species
CUACGGGGUGCUGCAGUGAGGAAUAUUGCACAAUGGAGGAAACUCUGAUGCAGCAACGCCGCGUGGAGGAUGACGCAUUUCGGUGUGUAAACUCCUUUUAUAUGUCAAGAAAAUGACGGUAGCAUAUGAAUAAGCACCGGCUAACUCCGUGCCAGCAGCCGCGGUAAUACGGAGGGUGCAAGCGUUACUCGGAAUCACUGGGCGUAAAGGACGCGUAGGCGGGAUAUCAAGUCAGGUGUGAAAUCCUACAGCUUAACUGUAGAACUGCACUUGAAACUGGUAACCUAGAGUAUGGGAGGGGGAGAUGGAAUUAGUGGUGUAGGGGUAAGAUCCGUAGAUAUCACUAGGAAUACCUAAAGCGAAGGCGAUCUCCUGGAACAUUACUGACGCUAAGGCGUGAAAGCGUGGGGAGCAAACAGGAUUAGAUACCCCGGUAGUC